UACGGAGGGUGCAAGCGUUAUCCGGAAUGAUUGGGCGUAAAGCGUCCGCAGGUGGCAGUUCAAGUCUGCUGUCAAAGACCGGGGCUUAACUUCGGAAAGGCAGUGGAAACUGAACAGCUAGAGUAUGGUAGGGGCAGAGGGAAUUCCUGGUGUAGCGGUGAAAUGCGUAGAGAUCAGGAAGAACAUCGGUGGCGAAGGCGCUCUGCUGGACUGCAACUGACACUCAGGGACGAAAGCUAGGGGAGCGAAUGGG
rnacentral:rRNA from 1 species